rnacentral:rRNA from 1 species
UGCAGUCGAGCGGACAGAUGGGAGCUUGCUCCCUGAUGUCAGCGGCGGACGGGUGAGUAACACGUGGGUAACCUGCCUGUAAGACUGGGAUAACUCCGGGAAACCGGGGCUAAUACCGGAUGCUUGAUUGAACCGCAUGGUUCAAUUAUAAAAGGUGGCUUUUAGCUACCACUUACAGAUGGACCCGCGGCGCAAUAGCUAGUUGGUGAGGUAACGGCUCACCAAGGCAACGAUGCGUAGCCGACCUGAGAGGGUGAUCGGCCACACUGGGACUGAGACACGGCCCAGACUCCUACGGGAGGCAGCAGUAGGGAAUCUUCCGCAAUGGACGAAAGUCUGACGGAGCAACGCCGCGUGAGUGAUGAAGGUUUUCGGAUCGUAAAACUCUGUUGUUAGGGAAGAACAAGUACCGUUCGAAUAGGGCGGUACCUUGACGGUACCUAACCAGAAAGCCACGGCUAACUACGUGCCAGCAGCCGCGGUAAUACGUAGGUGGCAAGCGUUGUCCGGAAUUAUUGGGCGUAAAGCGCGCGCAGGCGGUUUCUUAAGUCUGAUGUGAAAGCCCCCGGCUCAACCGGGGAGGGUCAUUGGAAACUGGGGAACUUGAGUGCAGAAGAGGAGAGUGGAAUUCCACGUGUAGCGGUGAAAUGCGUAGAGAUGUGGAGGAACACCAGUGGCGAAGGCGACUCUCUGGUCUGUAACUGACGCUGAGGCGCGAAAGCGUGGGGAGCGAACAGGAUUAGAUACCCUGGUAGUCCACGCCGUAAACGAUGAGUGCUAAGUGUUAAAGGGUUUCCGCCCUUUAGUGCUGCAGCAAACGCAUUAAGCACUCCGCCCGGGGGAGUACAGUCGCAAGACUGAAACUCAAAGGAAUUGACG